AACGAACGCUGGCGGCAUGCCUAACACAUGCAAGUCGAACGAGACCUUCGGGUCUAGUGGCGCAAGGGUGCGUAACGCGUGGGAACCUGCCCUUAGGUUCGGAAUAACUCCCCGAAAGGGGUGCUAAUACCGGAUAAUGUCUUCGGACCAAAGAUUUAUCGCCUUUGGAUGGGCCCGCGUUGGAUUAGCUAGUUGGUAGGGUAAAAGCCUACCAAGGCGACGCUCCAUAGCUGGUCUGAGAGGAUGAUCAGCCACACUGGGACUGAGACACGGCCCAGACUCCUACGGGAGGCAGCAGUGGGGAAUAUUGGACAAUGGGCGAAAGCCUGAUCCAGCAAUGCCGCGUGAGUGAUGAAGGCCUGAGGGUUGUAAAGCUCUUUUACCCGGGAUGAUAAUGACAGUACCGGGAGAAUAAGCUCCGGCUAACUCCGUG
rnacentral:rRNA from 1 species